rnacentral:lncRNA from 10 species
GGCCCCCAAGGCGCAGCCGCCCAACCGCUGCUCUUUUAGGAAACGUGCACUUGCGCUCGCGGAGGCCAGGCCAGAGAGGCGGCGCGGCUCGGGCCAAACGCGUCAUGCACAGAGCGCUCGCCUCUGCGCCAGGGCGUGAAAUGGGCACAGUCAUGCAAGCCUCCCGGGGGAGCGCCAAGGUGAACUGGAGGUGGAGGGACACCAGCAGGCGGCUUUAUGCAGCAUGGUCUCUCUCUAGUAGCAGUCCAUGCAGAGAGCAGGCAUUCAGUGUGGCCCAAGUACAAUUUACCUACCAGUUCUUUCAAAAAACAAUGCUAAAAGCCAAUUACAUUGUUGCACCUAAACUCAAACUACUGAGUUAUGAUUACAUGGCAUCCAUCCAAUCUGAUGACCAUGGAUAAAAGUCUUGCUGUAAAGUGACAUUUGUUUGACGAGCCCAAGCUUUUAACAUGGAUGGUCCUCAGGGGCCUUUACCAAUUCAA